UUUCCUUUGUGGAAUAAUGAAGUGUUCAGAUGUGCAGUGGGGAUGGUAGUAAUUACCAUCAACCCAAUAUGAAGAAGUCCUAGAAUCGCUCCAAAGCCUGAGAAGUAGAAGAAGUCUGUCUGCAGUGACUCCGAUAUAGCCACCUGCCUUAGCGUCUCGACCUCUACCAACAGCAACGGGCAGCUCUUCCUGAGCCACCUCAUCCCUGCCUGAGCCACCUCGGCCCUGCCAGUCAGAAUGAGGAGACCUCACCUCAACAGAAAUUUCAGAAGAAGCAUGAGCAGCAUACAGCUCCAGCAGUGGGGCAGCUACGUGCCCCAGAAGGAGAAGGCCGUUCCAGAGAGAGAGCAAGAACGAAAGACACAUCAAGGAAAACAAGAGCAUCACUUGCUUCAAGACAGUUUCUCUGGUCCCUUCUGGGGGUGUGAGUGUACUUGCUGUCCAUGGGUUCAGAAAUAUUCCUGUAUAUCUUUACAAUAAGUUGGCACACUGGAGAGCUAGCUUGAAGGAGGUUCUAGUACUUACAAGCGAAGAAAAUAUUCAUCAGGGUUGGUGAAAAAACAGACAGCUCCAACUGAAGGAGCAUCUUCUAAAUAACUCUUUUCCUGUCACCCACUCGGAAUUCACUUGUUAUCAAGAUAGAGGUUGAAAAUAAAACUAUCUGUUCAAAGGGGCAACAUGAACCUAAUCAAUGAAGUGUGUUAAGUACUACUUUGAUCCAUCCAACUGUUUUGAAAGGCAGCAUUCCCUGGGGGAAACGUCCUUGAGAUGUGGGAGCACUGCUUGGCAUCAUGGACACCAGGGACCGCAUCCUGGGGAGUCCUCUAGGCCCGAGCUUGCACCCGGGCAGCAGGAGGCCAAGGAUGGUCCACAGAUGUCUCUCAUUUGGCCUACAUCAAAUUAUAAAAAACUGACGCCAGCAUGUAAAAGUCUGAAAAAAUAUAAAACCAGACAUUUCUUGAAAAUUUGUAAGAUCUGACCAUGAUGAGGAAAUAUUUGCUCUUAACAACAGUCCACUGGAGCUGAGUAGUGGCUGACCUCUUUAGACAAGGCUAAUGGGGCCUCCCUGGCUCAGUAGUAAAGAAUGUGCCUGCUGCUUCCGGGUCGGGAAGAUCCCCUGGAGAAGGAAAUGGCAACCCACUGCAGUAUUCUUGCCUGGGAAAUCCCAUUUACAGAGGGCCUGGCGGGCUACAGUCCAUGGGGUGGCAAAGAGUCAGGCACAACUGAGCGACUAAACAAGAACAAUAACUCAAAAACAAUGCCUUCUAUGGGAAAUGGGCACAUGACUCACACA